rnacentral:piRNA from 1 species
AACACUGACUGUAUAGAAAGAGGAGG